rnacentral:lncRNA from 1 species
CGAGUGCUAUGCUGAAUAGAAGUGGUGAGAGUGGACAUCCUUGUCUUGUUCCAGCUCUCAGGGGGAAGGAAUGCUUUCAACCAAAAGCCAGUUUUGACUUUUUUGAAGAUGAAAUGUUACAAUAGCAAUGUCAGUUGUUCUGAUUAAUAUGAUGUAAUGAUUUAUCGAACCCUUAGUCCUCACUUUUUUUUUUCCAAUUGAAAAUAAAUCUGAACGGGGACUUUAUAAUUUCCCAUUUGCCUUUGAUUCCUAGCAUUGGCGUCUGCCAUGGAGGGCUCACUAUAUGAAACUGGGGCAAAUCUGAGAAUUACGGGUUUACACCACACAAUCAGCAUCAGAAAUACCUGUGCAGAUCAGCAGUGCUGUAUCACCAAGGAGAAGAAUGAUUCCCGCAGCCGGCACACAGGUUCCGAGGAUGCGUACAGACCAGUCGGGCUGACAGACAUGAAAACAUAUCAGUGUGAUGGAGCAUAACGGAACCUACAAGAGACUAAAGGUACAUGAGGGGAUUCAGUGGGGGCUCACAGAGUGGACAUUCCCCUAUGGCAGGGGCAGGGGUCUGGAAGGUAGGAAAAGUAGGAGGGACAUGUGGGAGCCCCAGACUAUGUUUCUCCCUCCCAGAUGAGGAUGAUUGUACUAUACCUGUGCCAAGGUGGGCAUUACAUUAAAAAAAAAUUUCCACAGGUUAUUGGGGUUCAGGUGGUAUUUGGUUACAUGAGUAAGUUAUUUAGUGGUGAUUUGUGAGAUUAUGGUGCACCCAACACCUGAGCAGUAUAUGUUGCACCCUACUCAUAGUCUUUUAUCCCUCACCCUCCUCCCACCCUUCUCCCCAAGUCCCCAAAGUCCAUUGUAUCAUUCUUACGCCUUUGUGUUCUCAUAGCUCAGCUCCCACUUAUCAGUGAGAACAUAUGAUAUUUGUUUUUCCAUUCCUGAGUUACUUCACUUAAAAUAGUCUCCAAUCUCAUCCAGGUCGCUGCAAAUGCUGUUAAUUCAUUCCUUUUUAUGUCUGAGUAGUAUUCCGUUGUAU